AUCUAGUUUCAGAACAAUUCCGAACUUUUGCUUCGUUGCGAAAUUAUCUGGCUCCGCCUCUCGCUGCGGCAUUGCCGCCGAGGUUGUUUUCCGUCGGCGCUCUUCGCUUAAUCUUUCAUGUGGAUAUUAGCUACACUUUUCCUAUAAAGUUUGACAGAAAUUUUGCAUUAACAGACGUGCUUCUUUACACUCGAAGAAAAGAUACUUAGGCCAUCAGUAGCUGUUGAACCCAAGCCAUAAGUCUCCUAUACCUCCUCUGGCUGGUCCUGCUCCUGGUGCUAUUCCAUCCAUGUCACUGCAGCAGUUCCAGCCUAUGCUUCCAGCCCAGCAGGCACAACCUUAUGGUUCCGGGUCAUCUCAACAAUUUCUGCCACUUGGACAUGCAAAUGUUGCGAUGUCUCAACCUUCUCAAAUCCAAUUUCCUCAUCCUAUGCAACAGGUUACUGGUAGACCUGUAGUAGGAAUGCAUAGUAUGCCUCAGGGACCACCUAUUCCCCAUGAUUUUCAGCGAAAUCUUCCGAUGUCAAAUAACCACAUGCCUGGUUCUGGUGGCCCAAAUUUACCUCUUUCUUCUUCAUAUAAUCAGGUAAAUGCAGAUUCUUCUGGCUCCAGUAUCAAACACAGAUAAAUGAUCAUAGGUUUCCAUCAGGGUUGUAACCCUGGAUGCCAAUAAGUAAUCAUAAUGUGAAUUCUGCAACAACUAUGUAGAAUUAACAGCUCCCUUGGUUGUUCCGGAAGCAAAUUACGUAGUUGAGACUGUUCAGUCAGAUUGGAUUGAGCAUACUACUCGAAAGGGGAAAAAAUACUAUUAUAAUAGAAGGACAAGAAUCUACUUGGGAGAAACCUCAAGAGCUGAUGACAGAAAUGGAGGUGAGGUCUCUUGUCAUC